AGAGCGACACGGGGCGAAGUGAAACAUCUCAGUAACCCCAGGAAAAGAAAACGAAGUGAUUCCGUAAGUACGUGGCGAGCGAAAGCGGAACAGCCUAAACCAGGGUGAUUUAUCACUCUGGGGUAGCGGGACCUUCACAACAGCCUAAAACAAUCCAGUCGAACAGCUUGGAAAAGCUGGCCAAAGACCGUGAUAGCCGCGUAGGCAAAAAUUGUUUGGGCUAGAGGGUAUCCCAAGUAGUGCGGUGCACGUGAAACUCCGCGCGAAUCCGUCCAGACCACUGGAUAAGGCUAAAUACUCAUCAGCGACCGAUAGUGAACUAGUACCGCGAGGGAAAGGCGAAAAGAACCCCGGUUAGGGGAGUGAAAUAGAACCUGCAACCCGCUGCCUACAAUGUGUGGGAGCCCCGAAAAGGGUGACCGCCUGCCUUUUGCAUAAUGAGUCUGCGAGUUAUUAUCUGUGGCCAGCAUUAGCCUCUUUGAGGUGGAUGCGAAGCGAAAGCGAGUACG
rnacentral:rRNA from 1 species